GGUUAACGUCAAUAUCUCUAGCUCUUAACCUGAAAUACUUCCUCCCUAAUGAAAGUGCUUUACAACCCUUAGGCCUUCUUCACACACGCGGCAUUGCUGGAUCAGGCUUGCGCCCAUUGUCCAAUAUUCCCCA
rnacentral:rRNA from 1 species